rnacentral:rRNA from 1 species
AGUGAACGCUGGCGGCGUGCCUAACACAUGCAAGUCGAACGAUGAAGAGCAGCUUGCUGCUCGGAUUAGUGGCGCACGGGUGAGUAAUGAAUAGGUAAUGUGCCCCUUAGUCUGGGAUAGCCACUGGAAACGGUGAUUAAUACUAGAUACUCUUUCUUGUCUUAAGGCAAGUCGGGAAAGUUUUUCGCUAAGGGAUCAGCCUAUGUCCUAUCAGGUAGUUGGUGAGGUAACGGCUCACCAAGCCAAUGACGGGUAUCUGGUUUGAGAGGAUGAUCAGACACACUGGAACUGAGACACGGUCCAGACUCCUACGGGAGGCAGCAGUGAGGAAUAUUGCACAAUGGAGGAAACUCUGAUGCAGCAACGCCGCGUGGAGGAUGACGCAUUUCGGUGUGUAAACUCCUUUUAAGAGGGAAGAUUAUGACGGUACCUCUUGAAUAAGCACCGGCUAACUCCGUGCCAGCAGCCGCCGUAA